GGGACUGCACCGGCUGCCUGGUGGGCCAGCUCUGGCUCAUGGAGGGCGUGAAGAGCACGGCUGCUGGUGGGGCUGAGGGACAAUCCACAGAUUGUGGAUGAGUUUCCAGGCAUGCUCCUAUGACUGCUGAAUGAACGUGACCACUGAGCGCCCUGAGGCUCUGACCAAAGGAAGAUGCUUUUCACUUCCAGCUACAGCUCCCCAUUGGCUUCCAUAGGAGAGGACACUGAAUCAAAGCAUCUCCCACCUGGGUUUCUCACCUACCUGAACUAAUCCGCAGUAAAUGGCAACUAUGACUUUUAGCACUUGCUUCAUGCAGCGAAACUUCUGCCACGGGCAACUCAUGGUGUGAGCUCUACAAGCCAAGGAGCCUGCUGCUGCUUUCUGAUCCCAGCAGGCUGUCUGCUGGCCUUCACUCCGGCUCCAGAGGCAGAGGCACAAACACCCAGUUAAUGGCUAUGCCGCAGACCUGGGAACCUAAAGACUGGCGUGUGUUGAUCCAUUUAGCCUCAGUUUCCAAGAGCCUUCUGGCAAGUCUCUUUAGUGCCUCUGCUUUGAUUUUUCCCUGAAGAGCAAAACUCACAACACUGCCAAUACUGGGGGUUUAGCAAGGCUAAAUUCAUUAUUGGGUGUUAAAAGUUUGCAGACACUCAAAAGAAAUGUGUUAUUCCAUGUACAAAGCCUAAUUAUUAAGUUACGUGUGUGCUACAAAUACUGCCCACAAAUUUAAAACGUGUCAUAUGUAUACUGUUAACAGUAUAAACACUUGUCUGCUAUUUGUGGUCAUCAGUGAGGAAAGAUCCAGAUGCCACAGCACUGUAGCUAGGUGUGAAUUACUAAUAAGUCAUAUAACAUAAUGACUGCACUUACUGUGAUGAUCCACCGGGACAAACAGGGAAAACUCCAGGGUGCUUUUCAUUACGCCAGAGGCACAGCCCUGCCUGGGGAGAACACAGAGCCUGGGAAAGCCCUGCA